AUUGAACGCUGGCGGCAUGCUUUACACAUGCAAGUCGAACGGUAACAGGUUAAGCUGACGAGUGGCGAACGGGUGAGUAAUGCAUCGGAACGUGCGCGGUCGGGGGGGAUAACACUUCGAAAGAAGUGCUAAUACCGCAUAAGAUCUGAGGUGGAAAGCGGGGGACGGUAAGGCCUCGCGCGAGCGGAGCGGCCGAAGUCAGAUGAGGUAGUUGGUGGGGUAAAGGCCCACCAAGCCGACGAGCUGUAGCUGGUCUGAGAGGACGACCAGCCACACCGGGACGGAGACACGGCACAGACUCCUACGGGAGGCAGCAGUGGGGAAUUUUGGACAAUGGGCGCAAGCCUGAUCCAGCAAUGCCGCGUGCAGGAAGAAGGCCUUCGGGUUGUAAACUGCUUUUGUACGGAGCGAAAAGGCUCCCUCUAAUACAGGGGGCUGAUGACGGUACCGUAAGAAUAAGCACCGGCUAACUACGUGCCAGCAGCCGCAGUAA
rnacentral:rRNA from 1 species